CCGGUCUUGACGGAGUACCUCGGGGGGGGGACCGCGAAGGUGGUCCUCAACAACCCCCCGCUCAACGUCGUGACGCUGCAGAUGAGCGAGCGGCUCCUCGAGACUAUGGAUUCUUUGGAGAACGACGAGUCGGUCCGCGCGGUCGUCCUGACCGGCGCCGGAAGCAAGGCGUUCUGCGCGGGCGCCGACAUCAAGGAGUUCCCCUCCGUGAGGGACCGGGUCGUCGAGAAGAAGCUGGCCCGCGAGAACGAGGCCUUCGGUGCCAUAGAAGCCCUCUCCAAGCCGGUCGUAGCCGCCAUAGAGGGGCUCGCUUUCGGCGGGGGCUGCGAGAUCGCGCUCGCCUGCGACCU
rnacentral:misc_RNA from 1 species